rnacentral:rRNA from 1 species
GACGAACGCUGGCGGCGUGCUUAGCACAUGCAAGUCGAACGGAAAGGCCCUGCUUUUGUUGGGUGCUCGAGUGGCGAACGGGUGAGUAACACGUGAGUAACCUGCCCUUGACUUUGGGAUAACUUCAGGAAACUGGGGCUCAUACCGGAUAGGAGCUCCUGCUGGAUGGUGGGGGUUGGCAAGGUUCGGCGGUUGGGGAUGGACUGGCGGCUUAUCAGCUUGUUGGUGGGGUAGUGGCUUACCAAGGCUUUGACGGGUAGCCGGCCGGGGAGGGUGACCGGCAACAUUGGGAUUGGGAAACGGCCCAGACUCUUAGGGGAGGCAGAAGGGGGGAAUAUGGAACAAUGGGCGGAGGCCUGAUGCAGCAACGCCGCGUGGGGGAGGACGGCCUUCGGUUGGUAAACCGUUUUCGCCUGUGACGAAGCGUGAGUGACGGUAAUGGGUAAAGAAGCACCGGCUAACUACGUG